UCCAACUUCCCAGAGUUUUCAAGU
rnacentral:piRNA from 1 species